AAAUUAAAAUAUAUGUAUAUCAUUAAUAAAAAGAGUUUGAUCCUGGCUCAGAAUGAACGUUUUUAGUUAGCUUAACACAUGCGAGUUAAAUAAUCUUAUAAGCUUGUAAGGAAAAUAGCGAACGGGUGAGUAAAAUAUAGGAAUUAAUCCUUAAAUUUGGAGAAAUCCAAAAAGAUUUAAUUGUUUUUGGAAUAGCCUAUAUAAGAUUAAGUUGUUGGUAAGUAAAGGCUUACCAAGCUUUUGAUCUUUAGUUGAUCUAUGAGGAUGAGCAACCACAUUGGAAUUGAAAUACGGUCCAAACUUUAAAAUAAAGGCAGCAGUGAGGAAUUUUGGGCAAUGAACGAAAGUUUGACCCAGCUAAACUAAAUGUGUGAAUGUUAAGGUAAAUUAACUGUAAAGCACUUUACUUUAUAAAUAAUUAUGAUUUAUUGAUAAAAGUCCUGGCUAAUUUCGUGCCAGCAGCCGCGGUAAAACGAGGAGGGCAGACGUUAUUCAAAUUAACUGGGCGUAAAGAAUAUGUAGGUGGAAAGUUUACUAGUAAUCUAAAAACUAAAUUUUAAAUUUUAGAUAAAGUUUAUUAAAUUGAUUUUCUAGAGUUUAGAAGAAGAUUGUGGAACUUUAAGUGUAACGGUAAAAUGUAUUAAUAUUUAAAAGAACUUCAAAGGUGAAAACAGCAAUCUAAUUUAAUACUGACAUUGAGAUAUUAAAGCAUGGGGAGCAAAGGGGAUUAGAUACCCCCGUAGUCCAUUGCCUUCAACAAUGAGUGUUUAUUUUUAGCUUUUAGUUAAAAAUGUAGUUAACACGUUAAACACUCCGCCAGGGAACUACGAUCGCAAGAUUAAAACUCAAAGGAAUUGACGGGGGCCUACACAAGCAGUGGAGCAUGUGGUUUAAAUCGAAAAUACGCGCGAAACCUUACCAAUUUUUGUAUGAUUUUCUUUCACAGGUGUUGCAUGGCUGUCGUCAGUCCGUACUGUGAAGCGUUUGAUUCAUUUCAACAAACGGGCGAAACUUUUAUAUAACAAAAUUAAGUUAUAAACCGCUAAGGAUAUCUUGGAGGAAGGAGAGAAUGAUGUCAAGUCUUCAUGACCCUGAUAAAUUGGGCUACUUUCAUGUGCUACAAUAUUUUUUUCAAAGAGCAGUUAUAAUGUAAGUUUAAAUAAAUCUUCAAAAAUUAUUUUGUUCUGAUUAUUUUCUGCAACUCGAAAAUAUGAAGUUGGAAUUGCUAGUAAUCGUAAAUAAGAAUGUUACGGUGAAUUUGUUCUUAGGUCUUGUACACACCGCCCGUCACGCUAUGGAAAUUCUAUUUGUUUGAAGAUUACAAUAAAAGUUUAUAACGAAAGAAAGACUGAAGUGAAGUCGUAACAAGGUAGCUGUAGGGGAACCUGCAGCUGGAAAAUAAA
rnacentral:rRNA from 1 species